UAUAAAGUGAUUUGCCAAUGGGUUGCUAAU
rnacentral:piRNA from 1 species